ensembl:lncRNA
CAGGACAAUGAUCCCAAAUAUACUUCAAAAAGCACCCAGAAAUGGAUGGCAACAAAGCGCUGGAGAGUUCCGAAGUGGCCAGCAAUGAGUCCAGAUCUAAAUCCCAUUGAACACAUGUGGAGAAAUCUUAAUUGCUGUUGGGAAAAGGUGCCCUUCCAAUAUGAUAGACCUGGAGCAGUUUGCAAAGGAAGAGUGGUCCAAAAUUCCAGAAUUGCACAGGGUUUACAUCUACGUCAAGUAGAUAUGCUUCAAGAUGGCACUGCGAAGAGAACAGCAAUGCUUUUCAUGAUGUCAAAGAAACUCAGAAGUGUUAGUGUAAAAAGCCUGAAGACGCACCGAAAGAAAAAGAGGCAGAGAGUUGGCGGUCUUAAGCAUGCAGAACAAUGUAAGUGCAUGUUUGUUUGUUUGUUUUUAUAUCAAUAUGCACUCAAAAAAGUCAACUAGCCACUUGUUUGAUUUGCAAAAUACAAAUAUGUCUGAUUAAUAAGAAUAUAACACGUUUACUUAUGUUAAAUGAUUCAUUCUUGUUAUUUGUAACUAAAUUAUUAUUCGAAGCAGUGCAAGUUUACUUGAUUUGAUUAGAUGCAUAAUGGGUGCGACGAAUAAAUCAUGUUCAUUCAACAAUUUAUUUUUUUGAGUGUGUGAAUCAUAGUUUAAGAUAGAUAUACAGUAAGUAGUUGAGACAGUGUUGCCAACUUAGCAAUUUUGUUGCUAAAUUUAGCAACUUUUCAGAUUGCCCUAGCAACUUUUUUUCCCCCCCUAAAGCACCUAGCAACAAAUGUAGCAUUUUUUUUUUUGUUUAUUUGGGAAUUUUUUGCAAUUUUUGAUAAGUGACUCUGCUAUUUGCAAUUGUUCAAUUUAAUAAUAAUUUAAUAAUUGUUCAUUUAUGAUACACUUUGUUAGUAGCUUGUACCUGUGAUUGUUGAUCAGUUAGUACUCUGUAAGAAAAAUGGAAAAGAUACUAGUAAUUUUCCAGGACAUUGUCCAUUAUCACCCUGUAACAUGAAAACACGAUGCGUAAUUUAAAAUGCAGGUAAAAAAAUCAAUAUGGGAAAUUCUUUCAUAUUUACACAGUAGAUUGUGCCCUAAUUUUACAGACCUUUCUUAGAGUGUAGCACACUAACUACUAAUACUGCUUAAAGCAUAAUUGUUGGGAAGGUGUAGUAUUACUAGUUUACUAGCUAUUAAAAAAACUUAAAUUGUAAUCAUUCAAAAACGUGUCAGUGUUCAAUAAUUCAAUUAAUUUAAAAAUAAAGUCAUUUAUAUUUUAAUAUUAUUUUUUACAUAUUAUUUUACAAACAAAUCUAAAUUAACAUUAAAUUAAAAUAUAUAUAUAUAUAUAUAUAUAUAUAUAUUUUUUUUUUUUUUUUUUUUUUUGCUGAGAUUUGAUGUUGUGAGACAAUUUUGCGUCAUUAUUACGCAAUGACGUCAUCGCGCAAUGACAUCAUAACGUCAUUUAGCAACUUUUAGCAACAAAUCAACCUUCCUUUAGCAACUUUCUCUGAAAAUUUGUUGGCAACAGUUGAGAAGGACAUCACUUUCCUCAAAGUCGUCUAUCAAUUAAUACAACUCUAGUUUUUUUUUUUUUUUUUCAUUAUAAUGUCAUGACACUUUCCUGCAUUAUUCCCACCCCAAUCCCUUGAUGUCCUGUUUACAGUCUAAAGUCUAAAGUUGUCAAAUUUCUCUCAGCAAUUUCAAUAAUUGAUUAUGUUAAUAAGAUUCUUUUGUAAGGUGAGGUAGUUUCUAUGGAAAAGAUAACAGCAAAUAUGUUUCAACUGAUACAUACACCGGGGACAUUUUGCUCUCACUGACAUGUUAUUUGUUUUGUUAAACCUGAAGGUUUAUCUCAUACAUAAGUAGAAUAGAACAGAUAUAUGUGCUCUUAACACAAAUAAAUAAAUAAAUAUGAUAUGAUAAAUGUUUCAUUUAAUGGCAAAAAUGUAUCUCAGUAUUUUAUUACCUUUGUUCAGUAAGUUUUAUUAAAGAGUUAGUCCACCCAAAAUGGAAAUUCUGUUAUUAAUUGCUCACCUUAAUGUUGUUUUAAACCUAUAAGACAUUUAACACAUAUGUUAACACACAUGAAGACAUUUUAAUGAAAUCUGAGAAAUUUCUGUCCCUCCAUUGACAGUCCAUGGAACUACCACUUUCAAGAUAGUAACAACAUCUUUAAAAUCAUAAAAUAAUCCAUGUGACACCAGUGGUUUAACCUCAAUUUUAUGGAGCAACAUGAGUGAUUUGUUUGCAAAAAGAACAAUUUACCACUUUAUUUAC